rfam:Capsicum annuum cultivar Zunla-1 chromosome 7, whole genome shotgun sequence
UGAUGGUGAUGAGGAAAAUUUCUAAGCAUGACUUUAAAUCUCUCCCUGGCUUGGUAGAGAUUCUCUCCAUCUUUUUGUCUGAAACUUGAGAUCUUACUCCUCAAACG